CCGCCCCUCGACUCGGGAGACUGUAAAAGUUUGUCUCAGCUCCAGCAUCCCGAGCCUCAACACGCCCUCAGGUAAAGCCCCUCCAGCUCGAAUAAUGAAGAGACAGUCAAUGCAAUCUGCAAGCGGCGGCCCAUUGUACGCAGCUGAUGGAAAGAAGGCAACCGGGGCCGGCGAGGGCUCCUUGCCCUCUCUCCUCUCCUCAAAUAAACGCGCUCAUGUCUCCUGAUCAGUUAAAAGGUGAAAUGAACACGAUUAAAAGACAAAAAGAGAGACAGAGAUAGAGAGAUAGAGAGAGAGAGGGAGAGAAGAAAAGAAGGAAGAAAAAGAACAAGCUUUCUACAUAUAAAUUCUAAAUUUUAUUCCUCAUGUAGUACAAAGGCAGGCAGUCGAGGGCAGAGAAAGCAGGCAGGGAGAGGGAGACAGGGAGAAGCAAAGAGAACGUGGAGAGAUACGGAGCGAGUGGAAGAGGAAGGAGGAAGGAGAGCAAGCUCCAGGGAACUGGAGGCGCCCUGGACGCCCAGCCCUCCGGCCCAGCCGCCCUCGGACUCUGGACCGCGAGUCGUGGGCACCAGAAGCGAGACUCGGCCAAGUCCUGCCCUACCAGAGAGACCACAGAACAGAAAUAACCCUGUUUUAUCAAGCCCAUCUGGAGAGAUGAACAUGCCUGCAAUCGUUGGGAGAAAGGGAUUGAGAAACGGAAAUUUCACCACCCUCCAGCCAAACUUUCGAGGACUGAUUGCAGAGGAACUGGUGCUCCAGAUGUUGCACUAGAGGCGCUGCAAGUGUGAGCAGAUGGCAGUAGACCUACCUCACAAGUGGGAGCAGAUAUUCUCAAUGUUUCUAUUGAAAUAUCUUUAUUUCCAUUUGCAAGAGGAGCUCUGGAGCCUCAUUCUUGUGGUAGCUACCAAGUUCUGAUAUAAGCUGUUUUCAUCAGGGAACUUUGGCAAGAGAAUGGCUGGAUCAGCAAGUCCAUCUCCAUCAUGGAACAACAACUUGAAGCUCAUCUCUGUUGAUGGUGAGUCAAUGUCAUCUUCAGACAGGAACAAUCAUGCUAGUGUUAUUUUAUGUUUUCAGUGUUAUUAAACAACAGUUUGGUUUAAAUUUUGUUUUAUGAGACAUUAUUAGGAUUUUGAGCCAUAAUAUUUCAUUACUUGAGUCUAAAGGAUUGCAUAAAAAUCAACCUAAUAGUAAAAAGGAAAGGGAAUAAUAAUUUAGUGUUUAUGAAUAUACCUAAAAGUAGUUUGAUUAGCUUUUGUCAUCUCUGUUCUUAUUUUUAUAUAGCACAUGCUGGCUAACUUAUUCAUGACUUUUGUUUAAAUAAAUAUUGGCCAGCACAGAAUCACACAUACAUGAUUAUUUUAAAAUGUAUUACUGAUUUCAGGAAAUUUCAGGAUAACUGUAGUGUAAUUGUGAUGAUUCCCUUCCAUUUUCAGAUACAUAGAUUAUUUGGUCUUUCAUCUGGUAGCCAUUGUUAAUGCUUACUGCUGCUUGUUAUCCCAGAGAUACAGUGGAUGACAACAUAUAUACAUAUAUACAUUUAAUAUUAUUACAAGAGUUAUUAAUAUUAAUAUUAAGAUUGAACUCUUCCUCCCUAUGCUCUGUAAGUAAUUAAGUAUAACUUGAUGCAUUCUUCAAAAUCUCUUUACUCAAAAACAUUAUUUUUAGAUGAUUUGUCUCAUUAAUAUUAUUAUUUUCACAUUAAGCCUACAUCAAAUAUUUUUAGUUGGACUAGACUUUGGAAAUUUCUUCAGUAUUAUAAUGCAAGUCAAACAGAAUUAUUUAGUGUAUAAACUUGAGUAUCAGGAGUUCCCAUUGUGGCACAGUGGAAACAAAUCCGACUAGGAACCUUGAGGUUGCGGGUUCAAUCCCUGGUCUCGCUCAGUGGGUUAAGGAUCUGGUGUUGCCGUGAGCUGUGGUGUAGGUUGCAGACGCAGCUUGGAUCCUGCGUUACUGUGGCUUGGGUAUAGGCUGGCGGUUGUAGCUCUGAUUUGACCCCUAGCCUGGAAACCUUCAUAUGCCAUGGAUGCAGCCAUAAAAAGCCAAAAAAAAACCCCCAACCCCCCCCAAAACAAACAAACAAAAACCCCCAUGAGUGUCAUAACUAGGAUAAUUUCUGUUCUAUCUAUUAUGAUAAGACACCAUUUCUUGAAUAAUUAAUAUUUGCUCAGCCCUAUGCUAAGUGCUUUCUAUAUCUUAUUGUAUCUUUACAACAUUAUUAUAGGGCAGAAAUAAUUAUCCCAGGUUUAUAGAUAAGGAAACUAAGACUCAAAGAGUUCAGUAAUUUAUAUAAGUUCAGUAAUUUGGAAUCCAACCUUGGACUACCUGACCUCAGACCUCCAGUUUAUAAAUGUGGUGUUAAGCUGCAUGAAGCUUUUAUAUAUGUAACUUAAGACUGGGCUGCUUUACUUUUGAAGCAUAGUCUGACUAGUUCACAGUGAUUUUAUACUACUGAUUGAGGUGUACCAUGAUGUGUCUGUGUAUAACAUUUACUUUUGUGAGUUUACGGGGACAUAACUUUUGACAGGCUGUCUACAUAUUAUAUGUACUUGAUGUUGUUUGUGUAUACAAAUGCAUCUAUGAAUUCUUCAAGUAGAAUCUUGAUGAUGCUUCCUUGGUAAACUUGGUGUAUCUUUAGUGUCUGCCCUACUCUUCAGGUAGUAGAAUUGCUGCUCAAUUUUGCUAGAGGCUGAGACCCUUGUUUUGGGAGAACAUUUACCCAUUAUUAUAAGACAGGUUGGCCAAAAUGGUGAUGUUAAUUUUUUGUCAGAUACAUAAUGAAAUAUGAAAUGUUAGUUUGACCAUUGUUGAACAAAGCCAAGUGUGUACAUUGUUUAGAUAUUAUGGAAACCUAUGGUCCUGUGAUUUUUCAAAGGUUUCUGUUGUUUAUAAGAUAUAUAUCGUGCUCUCUUUAGAGGACAUACAGGAUUUUUGUUAUUGGGCCAUUGCAUACUGCUUCAGGAAUAUCUCUGAUAGCCUUCUCCCUUACCACCCAACCUCAUAUAUACUCCAUACAUGUUAACCUCAGUUAAACUGAAUAGUCACCCUACCAUGACUAGGGUGACUAGUUGGCAUUGUGAUCUUCCCUCCUUCCUCCAUGAUGAAUACCAAAUUUUCAUUUAAGAUUCAACUUUGUGGAGUUCCUAUUGGAGCUCAGUGGGUUAAGAACCUGACAUAGGUCCAUGAGGAUACGAGUUCAAUCCCUGCCCUCACUCAGUGGGUUAAGGAUCCAGCAUUGCUGCAAACUGUGGUGUAGGUCACAUAUAUGGCUUGUAUCCUGUAUUGCUGUGGCAUAGCCCUCAGCUGCAGCUCUGAUUUGACCCCUAGCCUGGGAACUUCCAUGUGCCCCAGGUGAGGCAGUAAAAAAAAAAAAAAAAAAAAA
rnacentral:lncRNA from 1 species